GGGCCCGCACAAGCAGCGGAGCAUGUGGUUUAAUUCGAAGCAACGCGAAGAACCUUACCAGGGCUUGACAUCCCUUGACGUACGUUGAAAGACGUAUUCCCUUCGGGGCAAGGAGACAGGUGGUGCAUGGUUGUCGUCAGCUCGUGUCGUGAGAUGUUGGGUUAAGUCCCGCAACGAGCGCAACCCUUAUGGUUAGUUGCCAGCAAGCAAGAUGGGAACUCUAAUCAGACUGCCGGGGAUAACUCGGAGGAAGGUGGGGACGACGUCAAAUCAUCAUGCCCCUUAUGUUCUGGGCUACACACGUGCUACAAUGGCCGGUACAGAGGGCAGCGAAGCCGAGAGGUGAAGCGAAUCCCAAAAAGCCGGUCCCAGUUCGGAUUGUGGGCUGCAACCCGCCCACAUGAAGUCGGAGUUGCUAGUAAUCGCGAAUCAGCAUGUCGCGGUGAAUGCGUUCCCGGGCCUU
rnacentral:rRNA from 1 species